GAUGAAGAACGUAGCGAAAUGCGAUAAGUAGUGUGAAUUGCAGAAUUCAGUGAAUCAUCGAAUCUUUGAACGCACAUUGCGGCCAUAGGUAUUCCUUUGGCCAUGCCUGUUCGAGCGUCAUUUACACCCUCAAGCAUAGCUUGGUGUUGGGCGUCUGUCCCGCCGUUUUCGCGCGCGGACUCGCCUCAAAGUCAUUGGCGGCGGUCGUGCCGGCCCCCUCGCGCAGCACAUUUGCGCUUCUCGGAGGCCCGGCGGAUCCGCGCUCCAGCAAGACCUUUCACGACUUGACCUCGGAUCAGGUAGGGAUACCCGCUGAACUUAAGCAUAUCAAUAAGCGGAGGA
rnacentral:misc_RNA from 1 species